rnacentral:lncRNA from 1 species
CACACUACAUUCAAUUCAUAAUGCAAGGCUGCAAGCUCAGUAGCUCACGCCUCACUGUCCAGUUUAGUACAUCAGCAGACAGCAAUUUAGUACCUCAGCAGACAAGUGCAAAACUUAUACAAGAGAAGAGAUAAAGGCUUGUACUCUCUGUCCAGUUUAGUACAUCAGCAGACAGGCACGCACCAUCUAACAAUUUUAAUUUUACUAAACAGAGCAUAAGAUUUACCAAACUUCCAACUCUAAAUUCUUAAAUGAGGUCAUUAAUUUAUGCUCGUCUUUCAUUCUAGCUUACAUUCACCACUUGUCACAGAAUGCUAAGAUAUAUGAUCUUGGACGUAAACCACUAAAACCAAACAAAACUUCCAACUCUAAAUUCUUAAAUGAGGUCAUUAAUUUAUGCUCGUCUUUCAUUCUAGCUUACAUUCACCACUUGUCACAGAAUGCUAAGAUAUAUCAUCUUGGACGUAAACCACUAAAACCAAACAAGGUAAGAACAUAGCUUAUAAAAGAAAUACAAUAUUUUCCUUCAAGUAUCUGCACAAUCGCGAACAUGUCGUGUAUUUUUCUGACUUUGCGUGCAAGAAUUCUGGAGCUUAAGUAGUUCCUCACCAAAAAUUGAAUCUCUAAAUGAGCCUCUGCUAAAACAAAAACUUGCUUUUUCAACUGCUA